rnacentral:rRNA from 1 species
CUCAGAGCGAACGCUGGCGGCAGGCUUAACACAUGCAAGUCGAACGGGCUUCUUCGGAAGUCAGUGGCAUACGGGUGAGUAACACGUGGGAGCGUGCCCUUCGGUUCGGAAUAACUCAGGGAAACUUGAGCUAAUACCGGAUACGCCCUUAUGGGGAAAGGUUUACUGCCGAAGGAUCGGCCCGCGUCUGAUUAGCUUGUUGGUGGGGUAACGGCCUACCAAGGCGACGAUCAGUAGCUGGUCUGAGAGGAUGAUCAGCCACACUGGGACUGAGACACGGCCCAGACUCCUACGGGAGGCAGCAGUGGGGAAUAUUGGACAAUGGGCGCAAGCCUGAUCCAGCCAUGCCGCGUGAGUGAUGAAGGCCUUAGGGUUGUAUAGCUCUUUUGCCCGGGACGAUAAUGACGGUACCGGAACAAUAAGCCCCGGCUAACUUCCUGCC